AAUGAUGUGCACGCCGCCCGCCUGGAGCGAGGCGGUGCGCGCCGUUGCGUCAUUGA
rnacentral:sRNA from 1 species